ACGGGUGAGUAAUACAUCGGAACGUAUCCUGGAGUGGGGGAUAGCCCGGCGAAAGCCGGAUUAAUACCGCAUACGCUCUGAGGAGGAAAGCGGGGGACCUUCGGGCCUCGCGCUCAAGGGGCGGCCGAUGGCGGAUUAGGUAGUUGGUGGGGUAAAGGCCUACCAAGCCGACGAUCCGUAGCUGGUCUGAGAGGACGACCAGCCACACUGGGACUGAGACACGGCCCAGACUCCUACGGGAGGCAGCAGUGGGGAAUUUUGGACAAUGGGGGCAACCCUGAUCCAGCAAUGCCGCGUGUGUGAAGAAGGCCUUCGGGUCGUAAAGCACUUUUGUCCGGAAAGAAAUCAUCGGGGCCAAUACCCCUGGUGGAUGACGGUACCGGAAGAAUAAGCACCGGCUAACUACGUGCCAGCAGCCGCGGUAAUACGUAGGGUGCGAGCGUUAAUCGGAAUUACUGGGCGUAAAGCGUGCGCAGGCGGUGCUGUAAGACCGAUGUGAAAUCCCCGGGCUUAACCUGGGAACUGCAUUGGUGACUGCAGCGCUGGAGUAUGGCAGAGGGGGGUGGAAUUCCACGU
rnacentral:rRNA from 1 species